GAGCAGGCGGCGCGGCGCGGGCCGGGCCCUGGAAGAGGCGGUGGCAUCCGGGGGGAAGGCUCAGCAGUAGCUCAGUGUGAGAGCCAGGGUGUGCCCCAUGAAGGAAAGCCCAGGAUGUAAGGGGGUGCAGGAAUUGCUGCUUGGCAAGGAGAAAGGCAAGGCCAACAGCAAGCAGCCAGGUAAGGGGAUCCUAACCCCUACGCCAUACUCAUCCCCACCACAGGCCACAGGCAAGAAGAAGCCAAAGAAGAAGAAAAAGAAAGCAGACCAGGAUGACAGUAACACCAGAAGCAGUGGGCAUGGCAGCAGCCCCUCCGCCUCUGAGGAGACAGAUAAACAUCACAGCAAAAGCAGGAAGCAUCAGACCCUCUCUGCUCAGUUACUUGAAAUAAGCAUAAGGAAGGAUCCUGACCCAGC